GAGCCAUUAGCUCAGUCGGUAGAGCAUCUGACUUUUAAUCAGAGGGUCGAAGGUUCGAAUCCUUCAUGGUUCACCA
rnacentral:tRNA from 1 species